UCAUAACUGAAGCUGGGAGUGUUAGAUCGAGGUGAUUCAGGUGGCCAUGGAUCGGCAUCGAAAAUAUCUACAACUUUCGUGAAGACGAUGAAGGCUAAUUCGGACAUCUCGGCGGUCAAAAUCAGCGAUGAUCGCGUCAGAAUUCCCAAUCACGCCCACUGUCACGGAAUGAGGGCAUGUGAAUGGGAAUUAAAAGGGGAGUGGCGUGGUUUUUAGGCUAGAAAUGAGAUCUGAAAAUUAUUCGUCAUCAUUCACUUGGUAAUCUUCAUCUCUCUAGAAUUUUAGGGUUAGAGGAGGAUUCUAGGGAGAGAAGUUAGAUCUACAAUAACAAACAUCUAUUUUCACUAGAUUUGGCUAGAAGAGUUGGAGAUUGAAGGCAUUUGGCAACGGAUCUCCAUCAUUUGCUUGUAUUUGACGGAUCUAAUCUUCCAUUUGGUUUAUAGAUAGAUGCGGAAAACAGAGUUUACUUCACAAAAGAGCUUGAUAGGAUAACUGGUCAGAUGCUUUAGGGAUUACACUUGCAGCAUAUAUGGACAACCCUUGUGUAUAUGUUGGGUGUAUGAAAUCAGGAGCAGUUUUUUCUGAGCAGUAAGUUGACAGGAAAAUUUGCUCAGUAAUUAAUGUUUAGAAUCUUAGCAUCUGCAUAAGUGUUUGAUCUCAUCUGUGAUUCUUUUUAAUAAAUAUUUAAAGACUUGCCCCAUCAGGGGCCAUAAAUGGUAUGAACCAGAUUGGUGGAAAUUUGGUGAUGGAAAAUCGUAAGCCACAAUUUGACACUAUUGUCUGUUGAAUUUCCAUUUGGCAGCCAACUGUAAUGCCAUUUGUGAUUAUUCUCUGUUCUAUAUCCUUGUUGGAUUUGUGUAAAAUUUUUGCAGGAUAUAUUACUCAAAUUAGAUAUUAGUUUGGGCAA